CCUACGGGAGGCAGCAGUAGGGAAUCUUCCGCAAUGGACGAAAGCCUGACGCAGCAACGCCGCGUGGGGGAUGAAGGUUUUCGGAUUGUAAACUCCUGUUGUUAGAGAAGAUCAUGACGGUUUCUAACGAAUAAGCACCGGCUAACUACUGACCAGAAGCCGCGGUAAUACGGAGGGUGCACGCGAUCGGCGGAAGCACUGGGCGUAGGGAGCGCGGAGGCGGGAUAGCAAGGAGGAUGUGAAAGCCUAUGGCUGAACCAUAGAAGUGAAUUUGAAACUGUUAGGCUAGAGUGUGGGAGAGGUAGGUGGAAUUCUUGGUGUAGGGGUGAAAUCCGUAGAGAUAAAGAGGAAUACUCGUGGCGAAGGCGACCCGCUGGAACAUAACUGACGCUGAGGCGCGAAAGCGUGGGGAGCAAACAGGAUUAGAUACCCGGGUAGUC
rnacentral:rRNA from 1 species